rnacentral:misc_RNA from 1 species
CCGAUACGCGCAUUCCGCUCGUCGAUGUGCCUCUCAAACUGGAGCCGCAUUUCCCAUCUUUUUCACCGACACCACUACCCUUUCACGCACCCGUAUGCGGUCUCUUCUUUCAAGGACAAACUUUCUGUCUUCCUCCCCCGCCAACUCUACCGCUCACCCUUGCAGAGCACUGCUGGCGAAGUUCCCAUUCGGCUGCAUGCCCAUUCUAGGAUCUCUAUGGCGCACCCUCACACACCAACAAGUAGAGAGCGCGCGGUGGCAUUCCUUUAUUCUCCCUUGUGGAUUCUCUUCUGUUUUUUUUUGCCUCGCCCGCCUCCCCGCUGCUUCUCUGACUACAGAUGGCAGAUAGCACAAAAAUGAAAGAAAACAAUGUGCAUCCGUGACAGCGACGUGCCUACGUAAUCCUUUCUUUUUUGUUUUGGGGGAGCUCGCUUGCGGCACACAAUCCAGGCUCUACCAUGCCUUUCAGCUCCUACUUGCCCAGCGUUUGCCGUUCCGCACCCCUCCUCGUUACCCCUCCAGGAGAACAGUGGAAGCGACCAGGUGCACACGCUCACGAAAAGGAAAAAAAAAAGAACACAGAGACGCUCGCGCUUCGUGUGAGUGGCAUCGUGCAGAAUAGACGGAGAGGAAGGAAGCGAGGAAAAAGAAGGCAAACCACCUUGCUUCCCCACCACUCCUCUGACGACCAUUUCGAGGGGAGUUCGACGCGGUCACUCUCCCAACUCACACACAGAAAGAGCGGCCCAUGAGCUUUGAGGCGCCCUGUCCCCCGUCUUUUCUCCACCACCACCACCCGCCCCUCCCCUUCCCUUCACUUUGCUCUGUUUUGUUGUGGUUGCCAUUUUUUUUUGUUCACUAG